rnacentral:rRNA from 1 species
ACUCAAAGGAAUAGACGGGGACCCGCACAAGCGGUGGAACACGUGGUUUAAUUCGAUAACAAGCGAAGAACCUUACCUGGGCUUGACAUCUCUGGAAUCUCCAAGAAACUGGAGAGUGCCUUCGGGAGCCAGAUGACAGGUGCUGCACGGUCGUCGUCAGCUCGUGCUGUGAAGUGUCCCGUUAAGUCGGUUAACGAGCGCAACCCUUGUCGUAUGUUAAAUUUCUCAUACGAGACUGCCGGUGUUAAAUCGGAGGAAGGUGGGGAUGACGUCAGAUCAGCGUGGCCCUUACGUCCAGGGCGACACACAUGUUACAAUGGGGAGCAACAAAGGGCUGCUAAACCGCAAGGUGGAGCUAAUCCCAUCAAACCUCCCCUCAGUUCGGAUUGAGGGCUGCAACUCGCCCUCAUGAAGUCGGAAUCGCUAGUAACCGUGGGUCAGCCACACCACGGUGAAUACGUUCUCGGGUCUUGUACACACCGCCCGU